UCUACAUGAGAAAAAGAGAAAGUUUGAAAAGAAAAAGCUGGAAUUGAAAGGAAAGAGGAGAAGACGAGGGAAUAGGGAUGGAGGGUAAUGGCGCCAUGACAGGGGAAGGGAGUUCAGUUGCAGCCACAAUACUCUGUAAGGGUCACCAUUGUGGCACAAAAACCAAUAUGCUGAAAAGAUUUUUUAAAAGCUAUCAAACAAAUGCAAUUGGGAGGUGUUAAAGCGAGAUUUCCCAAUCUUUGUCGGAAGUCUAUGGAAGUCUAUCAAAGCAAAAGAAGCGAAGAAUUUCGCCAUAGAAAAGGGGGUGCUUGUGAUUAUGAUCUGUAUGCUGCGAGAUUCGCUCUUCGAAGCAAAGCUCACAAAAAUGGACCACCGCUUAGGAAUCUUAUCAAGAUUGACAAUAUAGUGGGUAAAGAGAGCCCAACAGUUCAGCAGGUAGAGUAUUGUAUUCUAUAGCAAAUAAAAGGUUCUAGAUUCAAAUUUUAAUUAGUUAAGUUUUGAUCUAUCUAAAUUCGACAUAUCUUAUAAGAAAUUAGAGAUCGACUAAAUUUGCCAUUACUGUGGAGAUCAUUUCCAACAAGAGGAUUAUUCAGAAAAUGGGAAGAGAGAUGUAGGACAGGCAGCUGCUAUUUGGGAAGUUCUAUUGACUGAACAUGGGAGAGAAGCUACACAACUGAAAGAUGGCAGAAAUUUGAAGGGGAAAUAGAGUAGCAAAAGAGACAAAUCGGGAGAGUACGUGAGGGGGAGAACACCCAUAAAGGAAAAUAAAAGGCACACGAAGCAGAGACAGAUGAGCAAGGGAAUUUCUUUGAGGGGAAGGAGUUUUCUGGAGUAGCUGUCAUGAGAAGGGAUGAUCCCAUCGUCUGCAUCAGAAACAUCUCCAAGUCUCGUCAAUUCUUAAUGGACUUUUACAGCAGAGAGCAACCCACAUUCACUUUACACGUUUGAGGGACCGCAACGGCAAAUAAAUAUUCGAUUGGUGGACGCAAACAAAAUCUGGAAAAUUGACGUAAUGCAAUUUUCUCAGUCAUCUCCUAAAGCGUAAGAAGCAAGCAUAGUAAAGCCAAGGAAUAAGGCAUAAGGACAAAGAAAAAGAACAAAAUCUGAUUUACUUGUUCUGCUUUGCUUUAUUUAUAGUGAACAAUGGAAUAUAAAAAAGGCUUAUAAGUCGACAAGCUACCCCGGAAAGAAAAUGAUCUAGUGCUACUGUUAUAAAAAGGAAGCCUCUCCAUACAAAGGUCAUCGCUGAAUAUAUUACAGGUAAACAAGAAUUCACUCCUCUUGAAGUUUUUCUUGAGGCAUUCAUUACAAAGUUAUCAUCUGUGACUGCUGCAGGUUAUCUGCUCCAACGACCGAGCCAUAACAGUUUUACUUUCUUUUUGUUUUUAUUGAAAUAAUUUUUUUUUAAAUUUAAAUUAUUUUGUGAAGGUUCUUGUUAGAAUUGGUGUGUUCACAAGCUUCGUAUUUUUAUUAGACUAUCAAACUCAUAAAAAAUCAUUCUGUCUGAUUACUCAUCUAGCCAUACUUUCAGUGUUAUCAUUGAUCAAUUAGAUAUGUAAGUAAAUUUCUUUAUAAGAGAAAUCCACUAUAAAUGGUUUUGUAAAUAUUUAAAUUAAGGUUUUAUCAAGCCAAGUGAACAAAUAGGGAUUUUUUUUUA